rnacentral:rRNA from 1 species
UAUUGCCCAAUGGGCGCCGGCCUGAGGCAGCAACGCCGCGUGGAGGAGGACGGUUUUCGGAUUGUAAACUCCUUUUCUGGGGGAAGAGGCAGGACGGUACCCCAGGAAUAAGUCUCGGCUAACUACGUGCCAGCAGCCGCGGUAAAACGUAGGAGGCGAGCGUUAUCCGGAUUUACUGGGCGUAAAGCGCGUGCAGGCGGUGGCUUAAGUCAUGCGUGAAAGCUCCCGGCUCAACUGGGAGAGGACGUAUGAGACUGGGUCACUGGAGACAGGUAGAGGCCUACGGAAUUCCGGGUGGAGUGGUGAAAUGCGUAGAGAUCCGGAGGAACAUCAGUGGCGAAGGCGGUAGGCUGGGCCUGAUCUGACGCUCAGACGCGAAAGCAUGGGGAGCGAACGGGAUUAGAAACCCCGGUAGUCCAUGCCGUAAACGAUGCAAACUAAGUGUCAGCGACCAAUGGUUGUUGGUGCUGGAGCAAACGCGAUAAGUUUGCCGCCUGGGGAGUACGGCCGCAAGGCUAAAACUCAAAGGAAUUGACGGGGGCCCGCACAAGCAGCGGAGCGUGUGGUUUAAUUCGAGGCUACACGAAGAACCUUACCUGGGCUUGACAUCUAGGUGGUAGUGAACCGAAAGGGGAGCGACCUUCGGGAGCCUAGACAGGUGCUGCAUGGCUGUCGUCAGCUCGUGCCGUGAGGUGUUCGGUUAAGUCCGAAAACGAGCGCAACCCCUAGUGCCAGUUACAAGUGUCUGGCGCGACUGCCCGGGGGAACCGGGAGGAAGGUGGGGAUGACGUCAAGUCAGCAUGGCCUUGAUGUCCAGGGCUACACACACGCUACAAUGGCCGGUACAACAGGCAGCCAAGCCGCGAGGCGGAGCGAACCCAGGAAAGCCGGUCACAGUUCGGAUUGCAGGCUGCAACUCGCCUGCAUGAAGUGGGAGUUGCUAGUAAACGUGGGUCAGCUAUACCGCGUUGAUACGUUCCCGGGCCUUGUACACACCGCCCGUCACGUCAUGGAAGCUGGUCAUGCCUGAAGUCGGUGGGCUAACCGGAAGGAGGCAGCCGCCGAAGGCAGGGCUGGUGACUGGGACGAAGU